rnacentral:rRNA from 1 species
GACGAACCGUGCGAACGUUAUUCGGAAUCACUGGGCUUAAAGGGCGCGUAGGCGGGUCAUCAAGUCAGGGGUGAAAUACUUCGGCCUAACCGGAGAACGGCUUCUGAUACUGGUGACCUCGAGGGGUGUAGGGGCAUGUGGAACUUCCGGUGGAGCGGUGAAAUGCGUAGAUAUCGGAAGGAACGCCGGUGGCGAAAGCGACGUGCUGGACACCUUCUGACGCUGAGGCGCGAAAGCCAGGGGAGCAAACGGG